ACAACUUUGUGCAUUGUUCCAGAUAUCUUCUGAGUUUUGAAACAACAUGAGCCAAGAUGAUACUGAAAAUAUUAUUGUUCGUACUGAUACAGAAGAGAAUCAAAGGGUAAUACCCUAUGUGUCGUUCAUUUACCAUUACUUGAUUAGUCAUCUAUUGAUCAGUCUAUUUCUCGUACCAGUUAGUGUUGUAAUCUUUAUUGAAGCUGCACGGCGAAUAAAUCCUGAAGAUAUGUAUAAUCAGCUUUUGCUCUAUCAUGUUCAUCAGAAAAAUGUUGUUUGUGUUAUGGUUUGUUUAGUUCUCAUGCUUUUUGGUUUAGUAACUUACUGGAAGAGUCGGCCUUGCAAAGUUUACCUUGUUGAUUAUGCAUGUUAUAAACCACCUUCGAACCUCAAAAUUUCAUGCCAAAGUUCCUAGCAAACGCAAGAAAGAUAAGUUACCACGGCGAGUCUUGGUUUAAUUUUAUGGGUAAGAUUCUUGAAGUUUCUGGACUUGGGAAAGAGACAUACGCGCCUCAAUCCCUGCAUGACAUACCUCAAGAUUUUUCAAUGGCAAGUGCAAGGGGUGAAACUGAGCAGGUAAUUUUUGGAGUUUUAGAUAAUCUCUUCUCUAAAACCUUUGUUAAACCAGAGGACAUUGGAAUCCUUGUUCUGAACUGUAGUUUGUUUAAUCCUAUUCCUUCUCUUUCGGCCGUAAUUGUUAAUAAGUAUAAUGAAAUCCAACCCAAAGUGACAGUAACCUAGAUCUAUGACAUAUUAAGUAAUGCAAGCACCGAAAAUUCUUAUUGAUGAAUCAUUCAAAGUAACAAAGAUACAAGUUCUUGAAUAUAAGGAAACCCUAAUCUUUCUCCAUAGGUUAAGCUCUCCCACUCUCCAAAAAUCCGAUCCCCAAAACAUUGUCCAAGGACCUGUAUUUAUAAAACCAUCUAACUCUAAUGGAACACAGCUGAUUUUAUCUUGUCACAUUCUCGCGGUGGUUCUUUUCACUUCGCCCAGACCGUUUUCCAUAAAGUGUUUCCCUUUCUUUCGCUAACUUCACAUGGGUUUUUCGGGACACCUGUCUCUUUCUUGCUCCAUAAUUUAUCUAUCUCGUGGAUUGUCUUUUCAGCCAAGUAAUCUUACUUCGUCCCUUUCGACUUCCUCCUUGAUAUCUUUUUGGAUACUUCAACUUGGUGCGAGUCUCCUUGCUUCCGCACUCAGUCUCUUUGUACUUCGCAGGGCCGAUCGACGACGAGAUAAUUCUGACAUUUGAAUUGACAAGUUUUUGACUGGGAUCUUUUAGUGAGAUUUUCUAUCCCUAUUUCUUCUCUUUAUGUCCGACAUGUGGAGAACCUAAUUCGUGUACCUACAUUUUGCCUUUUAUUAUUCUAUUCGAAUCAUACGAGAAUGGAGUAAGAACCGAUUCAGAUUCCCUAGCCGCCACGUUCUCCACUUCCCUGCCUCCACGUGUCCACGUUCUCUGGGUAACCGAUUAUUGUCGGUUAGUAUACCUCGAACGUGUCGUCAACCCAUUAAGCCAGUGGUCCUUCAUGUGCUAUUUAUAUUCCACUCGACCUAAGUCUGGGAUUUCCUUCCCUCUUCUUCCUUUCUGCGUUUAUCUGUUUUUGUGUUUUCUCUUUCUUCUGCCAUUGUCGCUCCGCUUCUUAUCCCCUAUUCUUCUCUCAUUAUCAUGGCUUCCAAGAAUGUCUCAGUAACUAUCUCUCUUAAAUCCUUUGAGGAUUUCCAAGCAGAUUUUCAAAAGAUGGGUUUAACCCUAACUCCUGCUGUUGAAUCUUCUGUGAGUCCUCCUGUUAUUGCUACUCAGGAUAUGGAGCUUAACUACAGGCGGAUUCAGUCGGAUACUUGGACUACCAACAAGAUGAUCGUCACGAUUGGUUCCAUCCGUGGCUGAAGAAUUCGAUUCUCGUGAUUUCAACGUGGAUUCCUUCGUGGCCAACUAUUCGGCGAAGUUCACAAGUAUGAGAGAGCACCAGGAGUGGGGCAUUGAGCUUGCUUGAAAGAAUGUCGCGGAUCCGAUCGAAGCUCUCUUGUUAUAUGUGGAUUCCCAGCUUCUCCUUUCUAAUGAUAAUGAUGGGAAAUGUUUCCUCUGGUGGUGGGUGGCCCAUUUGUUUGGGGUUUCGACGAGAAAGGGGUUCCUCGCCAGGGCCCUAUUCCUAAACAUUGCUAUCUCGCUGAUUGUGAUCCUUGGAGACUUCGGUGAUCUGUGCCAGCCGAGUUCGUAAUGCCCCCCGUUGGCUUUCUCAGGACGGGCAAGGAAAUGGUAGUAACUACCAAGUCCUCAAUUCCCAAACAGACUGGUGCCCCUCCUUCAGGCGAGUAUAAGAGGCAACGGAAGGUCCUGGAUCUAGCUGCUUUGACCGCAGUUCCGAAAUCUGUCAUACUUACAAGCCUCUCUACUCCUCCCAAUCCUCAACCUUCUCAGCCUCGUACGAUCGCAUCUCCCAAAGUAAUUGAUCCUCCUGUUCUUCCCAAGGUUGAGCCCCCCAAGAAGCCAACUGAGGACCCUUCUGCCAGCGAUAAGAAGAAGCAAGCGGCUUCGUCAGGGAUGUCUAACCUCAUCUAUGACCAUGACAUGAAGUUUCUCCAGGAGGUUUAUGACAAAACCGUGAAGAUCUAGCUCUGAGGUCCCGUGCCUUAGAAUCCUUGGUGAUCUUUAGCUCUAGCGAUUUUCUUUCCCAAGAUUCUUCGGUGGUGCCGCCUCUAUGAACUUGUCUCUCCAGCAACAUUCCGCCUUAAUGUGCCAGGAGGUCAAUCGUCAUAUGGCCAGUCUCGUAGAAAUUAUAUUUAUCCGCGAAAAGGCCAAGAAGGACGAAGCUCAAAUCAAGAACUUGACAAAAGAGAUUAAAGAGGAAAGAGACCAUUCCAUCAAGCAAGGUCAAAAAAUAGAGAAGCUCCUGACUCGGUGCAUGCAACGCCAAACGAGUGCCUCUGAAGCAUCUGCCUCGUUAGAAGAUUUUCGUGCCAAGAAAGUGAACCUCGUGACCCAGAAUGACUGUUAUGUGUCUGAGAACACAAUUUUAAACGAGAAGGUCAAAACUCUUUUUUUGUAAGUUGAUCGUCUGUCCAUUGAUUGUUCUCAUAAUGAGGAGCUGCAUCACCAUCUUCAUGAUGACAAUGAGCGUCUCAAUAUGGAACUUCAACGAGUCAACAAUUCUCUCCUUACUUCGAGGAGUAUCCACUUCUCUUCAUUGGUUUCCUAUAAGAGAAUGGCAGAAGAUUACAAGCACGUGAUCAAUAGCAAAAGUAAGGUUGUGGAUGAUCUUCGCAGGUCUCGUAAUAAAGUAGCCGGUUUAAACGAAGAGAUUGACUAUCUAAAAAGGAAAGUGGAACUCCUUCAGGCUCAGCUAGAUAACUCAUCUCGCCCGAAGUCUAUCAAAUCUUCCUCUCAAGCCAAGUCCAUCGAACCUCGCAAAAACAAGGGUGCUCUUGUCAUUCAAUGCAACAAAGAUACCUCGAAGUCUGGUUAUGGUAACGGCUGGGACAAUGCAUAUCACGAGUUAUGUUUCCAGCUUCACGAAUCGGAUCUAAUGAUCUCCAAGCUGUAUCAUUUGUAUACUGAUAUUCAACCAACCUUGAAUACCACUAUCUUGCAGAUGGAAGAGUCCGAAGAGCGUCACAAGAGCCAUGUUCUCCGCCUUUCUCGUGAAAGGGAUGAGUCACGCACAUAGAUUCUUCUCCUUCAAAAUGAGGUCAAUGGCUUGAACGAGGAUAUGGACGAAAUGCUUGAGUCUUCUGCGAAGGUGGCGAAAUUACCUCGCAAGAACACUCAGAGCUAUCUGGUCUCUCUUUUUGGAAACUUCUGUGACGAGCAAGGCCUUCUUCAUCCUACCUUUCCCUUGGAGGUAUUCUCCGAUGACGAACAACCAAAGGAUGAUAAUGUCAUCUCUGGUGAUGAAGAUAGGCUCACUGACACUAGUGUAAAAUGGAAGUUAAACCACUGGCAAUAGAAGAGUAAGUAUUGGUCCAAUUCACCUGUGUGCAUUGAGGCUGCUGCUGAUAAACACCUGCAGGAGGUCCUACCAUUUCAACAGCUCCAUCCAUGGUUUGAGACUGCUGAAGCAGAGGGUGAACAGGUGCUCCUCCCAUUGUCCGUGUUGGGUGAUAUAUCCCAGCAAAGGCUGGAUGCCCAGUUUGAGAUGGAUAAAAUGCUAUGUGUUGUCCCUAAGGCAGGUUGUAGAAAGAACCAGCCCGUAUUCCAGAAAUCUCUCUCCCUGGUGUAGGAACCCAGACAGCUGCACCACCUUCACUCUGCAAAAAAAAAGUGCAACUAAGUUAUACAACAGCAGAUCUGAAGGUCACUGACAAAAGUAAUAUAAGAUGUAAAGCUUUCACAAAUAAUGAAAUAAAUGAAUGAAAAUGUUAAUUACCAGUUAAAGGACCAGAAAGUAAGAAACUAC